GGCCGCGGGAAUUCGAUUAGAGUUUGAUUCUGGCUCAGGAUCAUUGCUGGCGGCGUGCCUAACACAUGCAAGUCGAACGGGGCCGCGCGAGGGGAGGGGAAGGCUUGCCUGACCCGAACCGGACGCGGCCUAGUGGCGGACGGGUGAGUAACGCGUGGGCAAUCUGCCCCGUACCGGGGGAUAACACCUGGAAACAGGUGCUAACACCGCAUGACAGGCGGGGGCGCAUGCCCCGGCCUUGAAAACUCCGGUGGUACGGGAUGAGCCCGCGUCCGAUUAGUCAGUUGGCGGGGUAACGGCCCACCAAAGCGACGAUCGGUAGCCGGCCUGAGAGGGUGGACGGCCACAUUGGGACUGAGACACGGCCCAAACUCCUACGGGAGGCAGCAGUGGGGAAUAUUGCACAAUGGGGGAAACCCUGAUGCAGCGACGCCGCGUGAGUGAAGAAGCGCCUCGGCGCGUAAAGCUCUGUCAGCAGGAACGAUAAUGACGGUACCUGAAGAAGAAGCCCCGGCUAACUACGUGCCAGCAGCCGCGGUAAUACGUAGGGGGCAAGCGUUAUCCGGAUUUACUGGGUGUAAAGGGAGCGUAGACGGCGGGGCAAGUCUGGAGUGAAAGGCCGGGGCCCAACCCCGGGACCGCUCUGGAAACUGCCCGGCUGGAGUGCGGGAGAGGUAAGCGGAAUUCCUAGUGUAGCGGUGAAAUGCGUAAAUAUUAGGAGGAACCCCAGCGGCGAAGGCGGCUUUCUGGACCGUGACUGACGUUGAGGCUCGAAAGCGUGGGGAAGCAACAGGAUUAGAUACCCUGGUAGUCCC
rnacentral:rRNA from 1 species